rnacentral:rRNA from 1 species
GCCUAUGGCCAUACCACCCUGAACGCACCCAAUCUUGUCUGAUCUCAGAAGCUAAGCAGGGAGGCCUAGUUAGUACUUGGGUGGGAGGAGAAUGUCAACUCUAGAGAUUUAGCAA